AGUCUGAGGCUGAAUGAAACCUACUUGUGUGCAAGAGGAAAUGUGCCACAUGCCGCUCUCCAGCCUGGCCUGGGUAUUCAUGCUUUUCCUCUGCUCUGGAUCCAGCGUGACCCAGACAGUGACUCAAACCCAGCCAGACAUAUUCAAGUCGGAGGGAUCAGAAGUCACCCUGUCCUGUCAGUAUGAUACAGGUCUGAACACAUACUACCUUUUAUGGUACAAGCAACUUUUCAGUGGAGAGAUGAUUUUUCUUAUUCGUCAGAGUUCCACGGGCCAGAAUGCAAAGAGCAGUCGUUAUUCUAUCAACUUCCAGAAAGGUGCUAAAUCCAUCACCCUCACCAUCUCAGCCCUACAGCUGGAUGAUUCAUCGAAGUAUUUCUGUGCUCUCUGGGAACACACAGUGUUUGAAGUGAUAGCAGAAGCUGAACAAAAACCCUAG